AGCGUACACGGUGGAUGCCCUGGCAGUCAGAGGCGAUGAAGGACGUGCUAAUCUGCGAAAAGCGUCGGUAAGGUGAUAUGAACCGUUAUAACCGGCGAUGUCCGAAUGGGGAAACCCAGUGCAAUUCGUUGCACUAUCGUUAACUGAAUACAUAGGUUAACGAGGCGAACCGGGGGAACUGAAACAUCUAAGUACCCCGAGGAAAAGAAAUCAACCGAGAUUCCCCCAGUAGCGGCGAGCGAACGGGGAGCAGCCCAGAGUCUGAAUCAGCUUGUGUGUUAGUGGAACGGUCUGGAAAGUCCGACGGUACAGGGUGAUAGUCCCGUACACCAAAAUGCACAGGCUGUGAACUCGAAGAGUAGGGCGGGACACGUGGUAUCCUGUCUGAAUAUGGGGGGACCAUCCUCCAAGGCUAAAUACUCCUGACUGACCGAUAGUGAACCAGUACCGUGAGGGAAAGGCGAAAAGAACCCCGGCGAGGGGAGUGAAAAAGAACCUGAAACCGUGUACGUACAAGCAGUGGGAGCACCUUCGGGUGUGACUGCGUACCUUUUGUAUAAUGGGUCAGCGACUUAUAUUCUGUAGCAAGGUUAACCGUAUAGGGGAGCCGCAGGGAAACCGAGUCUUAACUGGGCGUUAAGUUGCAGGGUAUAGACCCGAAACCCGGUGAUCUAGCCAUGGGCAGGUUGAAGGUUGGGUAACACUAACUGGAGGACCGAACCGACUAAUGUUGAAAAAUUAGCGGAUGACUUGUGGCUGGGGGUGAAAGGCCAAUCAAACCGGGAGAUAGCUGGUUCUCCCCGAAAGCUAUUUAGGUAGCGCCUCGUGAAUUCAUCUUCGGGGGUAGAGCACUGUUUCGGCUAGGGGGUCAUCCCGACUUACCAACCCGAUGCAAACUACGAAUACCGAAGAAUGUUAUCACGGGAGACACACGGCGGGUGCUAACGUCCGUCGUGAAGAGGGAAACAACCCAGACCGCCAGCUAAGGUCCCAAAGUCAUGGUUAAGUGGGAAACGAUGUGGGAAGGCACAGACAGCCAGGAUGUUGGCUUAGAAGCAGCCAUCAUUUAAAGAAAGCGUAAUAGCUCACUGGUCGAGUCGGCCUGCGCGGAAGAUGUAACGGGGCUAAACCAUGCACCGAAGCUGCGGCAGCGACACUAUGUGUUGUUGGGUAGGGGAGCGUUCUGUAAGCCUGCGAAGGUGACCUGUGAGGGUUGCUGGAGGUAUCAGAAGUGCGAAUGCUGACAUAAGUAACGAUAAAGCGGGUGAAAAGCCCGCUCGCCGGAAGACCAAGGGUUCCUGUCCAACGUUAAUCGGGGCAGGGUGAGUCGACCCCUAAGGCGAGGCCGAAAGGCGUAGUCGAUGGGAAACAGGUUAAUAUUCCUGUACUUGGUGUUACUGCGAAGGGGGGACGGAGAAGGCUAUGUUAGCCGGGCGACGGUUGUCCCGGUUUAAGCAUGUAGGCUGGUUGUCCAGGCAAAUCCGGAUAAUCAAGGCUGAGGUGUGAUGACGAGGCACUACGGUGCUGAAGUAACAAAUGCCCUGCUUCCAGGAAAAGCCUCUAAGCAUCAGGUAACAUUAAAUCGUACCCCAAACCGACACAGGUGGUCAGGUAGAGAAUACCAAGGCGCUUGAGAGAACUCGGGUGAAGGAACUAGGCAAAAUGGUGCCGUAACUUCGGGAGAAGGCACGCUGGUGUGUAGGUGAAGUCCCUGCGGAUGGAGCUGAGACCAGUCGAAGAUACCAGCUGGCUGCAACUGUUUAUUAAAAACACAGCACUGUGCAAACACGAAAGUGGACGUAUACGGUGUGACGCCUGCCCGGUGCCGGAAGGUUAAUUGAUGGGGUUAUCCGUAAGGAGAAGCUCUUGAUCGAAGCCCCGGUAAACGGCGGCCGUAACUAUAACGGUCCUAAGGUAGCGAAAUUCCUUGUCGGGUAAGUUCCGACCUGCACGAAUGGCGUAAUGAUGGCCAGGCUGUCUCCACCCGAGACUCAGUGAAAUUGAACUCGCUGUGAAGAUGCAGUGUACCCGCGGCAAGACGGAAAGACCCCGUGAACCUUUACUAUAGCUUGACACUGAACAUUGAGCCUUGAUGUGUAGGAUAGGUGGGAGGCUUUGAAGCGUGGACGCCAGUCUGCGUGGAGCCAACCUUGAAAUACCACCCUUUAAUGUUUGAUGUUCUAACGUUGGCCCCUGACCGGGGUUGCGGACAGUGUCUGGUGGGUAGUUUGACUGGGGCGGUCUCCUCCCAAAGCGUAACGGAGGAGCACGAAGGUUAGCUAAUCCUGGUCGGACAUCAGGAGGUUAGUGCAAUGGCAUAAGCUAGCUUGACUGCGAGCGUGACGGCGCGAGCAGGUGCGAAAGCAGGUCAUAGUGAUCCGGUGGUUCUGAAUGGAAGGGCCAUCGCUCAACGGAUAAAAGGUACUCCGGGGAUAACAGGCUGAUACCGCCCAAGAGUUCAUAUCGACGGCGGUGUUUGGCACCUCGAUGUCGGCUCAUCACAUCCUGGGGCUGAAGUAGGUCCCAAGGGUAUGGCUGUUCGCCAUUUAAAGUGGUACGCGAGCUGGGUUUAGAACGUCGUGAGACAGUUCGGUCCCUAUCUGCCGUGGGCGCUGGAGAAUUGAGGGGGGCUGCUCCUAGUACGAGAGGACCGGAGUGGACGCAUCACUGGUGUUCGGGUUGUCAUGCCAAUGGCACUGCCCGGUAGCUAAAUGCGGAAGAGAUAAGUGCUGAAAGCAUCUAAGCACGAAACUUGCCCCGAGAUGAGUUCU
rnacentral:rRNA from 1 species